rnacentral:rRNA from 1 species
AACUAUAUGCGGUGGAUCACUCGGUUUGGGUGUCGAUGAAGAGCGCAACCAACUGUGUGAAUUAAUGUGAAUGACAGACUGUUUUGAACAUCAACCUCUUGAACGCACAUUGUGGCCGUUGGCUUGCCUACGACCAUGUCUGGCCAAGGGUCG